rnacentral:rRNA from 1 species
AACGUAGGAGACAAACGUUAUCCGGAGUUACUGGGCGUAAAGGGCGUGUAGGCGGUUUGUUAAGUCUGGCGUGAAAGCUCUCGGCUAAACCGGGAGAGGUCGUUGGAUACUGGCAAACUAGAGGAUGGUAGAGGCGUGUGGAAUUCCGGGUGUAGUGGUGAAAUGCGUAGAGAUCCGGAGGAACCCCAGAGGCGAAGGCGGCAGCCUGGUUGGCUCCUGACGCUCGGACACGACAGCAUGGGGAGCGAACGGG